AAUUGUUCUAGCACCCCUGGAAGCUUGGGUCCUUUCAGGGAGAAGGUGGUGAGACCAACAGGAUUUUAAUACUAAUGUCAUGUGUUUCAGAGCUUCCUAUAGUUCAGAGAGAAAUACUUCCAUUCCCUCUUGGUCUUCUCACAGCAGCUUCGAAAGUGAACUUGCUUGUGCGGGGCUUCCCUUCCCUGCUACAUUGGAACCACGACUCUUUACCUGAUGACAGCAGCUGUAUCUUCCCAUUCUAUCCCCUCCCCGCUUGAGUCACCUGCACAGUAGAGCUAUAGGUGAUGCCAUGUUUGUAGACCCUUGUGCCCACCAUCAAGGUCCCAAGGCUCCAAGGAAACUCCUCAAGUUUUCAAAAUCUAUAUCAAGCCCUAUAAACUGACAACCAAACUUGUGGACAAAUUUAACAAGUCACAAGGUUUACAUUUGCCAAAGCAGUAGGUGUAUAAUGCCACCUUGUCCAUAACAGGGGACUAGUGGUGAGCUGGAUGUAAAAAAUAAACUUUGCCCACAUUGGUUCUGCAUGGGAGACACUUUUAUUACAUGGCACACUGGUAAAGACACAACCACAAAGGAGAGAUCAUCUGAUGGAAAGAAGUGAAGAGACACAAGAGGAGAGAACCUGGAGCCAUGAGUAUAGGCAGCAGACAUCACGCACAAUUUAAAUUUCUUUGAGGACACAUUUUUCAUAUUGUGCUGGCAUAUCUUUUUAUUUUUGAUCUUCAUUAUGCCUUUUAGCCAGUCACAGCUCUCUAAAUACACCUAUUGUGUUAGUGGCCACGUUGUACCUGCCUACACUGGAAAAUCAGGGAGAUUCUGCCAGCAGUGAGGCAACAGAGAAGAUUGUGUGUGUAUAAAUUUCAGAUCACUAGCAUCACCCGGGCCUUGAAAUGCCUGUUAUCAAAACCAUGGUGGAAAUAAGUAUGAGACUUGUAUUUUCCACUCAGAAAUUAUUCGGCUCAAGUGUUGUGUCACCCAGCCUUGGAGAGAGCACAUGCCAUACCCGCCUAACCUGAGGCAUUUGGUCCAAGAUUCUAGUUUUUGGAGGUCACUCACCAGCCUCCAGAAUCUCAGGACUUUCAGUGCUGCAGCUGUGAAAGUGACAUUGAGCAACGUACAGGAGGAAUAGAGAUGGAUUCUGUCCAGAUCAGCUGCAGUGAAGACAGUUCUUGAGACCCACUGUUGUGCAGUAACUUAAA